rnacentral:rRNA from 1 species
UGCCCUACGGGACGCAGCAGGGGGAUAAGCGGAAGAAAUUCCGUCUAAUACCGCGUAACAACGUUGGGAGGCAUCUCCCGAUGUUUAAAGAUUUAUCGGCUGCGGAUGGCCAUGCGGCGCAUUAGCUAGUCGGCGGGGUAACGGCCCACCGAGGCGGCGAUGCGUAGGGGUUCUGAGAGGAAGGUCCCCCACACUGGUACUGAGACACGGACCAGACUCCUACGGGAGGCAGCAGUGAGGAAUAUUGGUCAAUGCCCGACAGGCUGAAC